CAUGGAUCCUGUCACGGAAUUCCGAGCUGACAGCAGAGCAGGAGCAGCAGGUGAAUGAAAAGCUGGAGGCCCUGGGUCUGCCUCGGAGCCGCUACACAGACACCCCACAGGACCCACAACAGUGCAGUGUCAGAGUCAGCACGUGCGACAAGCCUGCAGUCUCCCAGUUUAACGCCUCUGAGUACCUGGGCGUGUGGUACGAGAUCGCCAGGUUCGGACUGGCUCCCUUCGAGGCAGGCGCCCAGUGUGUCACGGCGGAGUACUCACUGGCUGGAGACAACAACGUGAC